GUCAGACCAUAGAUAACAUAGAAGACAGCACGCUAGCGUAUAUCUGUGGUCGGCCGUCUGGUAGCAUCUCUGGCUGCUGUUGACUUUGUUUUUGGAGUAAAACACGGUGGAAGCUGAAUUAGUGAGGAUGACUCCUGCUCCUGUCAUCUCUAAGCUCCUCACACAUCUUUACCUGCACAUGAGGAAAAUCACUCCUGUAGAAUGCAGAUGCACAAUGAGGGACGUCUGCAGAGACUGAGAAAGAGUCUCACCACAUCCUUACAUGAGGAAAAAGACUUUAUUGAAGACUACAAUGAGAAAAACUAUCCAGACAGCAGACGGCUGCAUUCAAGGUGAGCUCUGAACAUUUGAUCUGGAACAGGAAUUCAAUAACAGCAGCAUGAGCUUCAUUUCAGUCUGUAGCUGCUGAAUUCAUGGAUGAAUCAUCUGGCACUAGAGAGGAAGACCAUCAAACAUCCACGUCAGCUGAUGGAGGUCCAAGAGUCUCACCAAGCAAACAACCUACAGAGUGAAGACCUCAAAUCUGAUUGGACAGCCUCCUAUUCAGCCACAUGUGUGAACAAAUGCCUCUAAGCUGAUUUGUUUUCUGAAAUAAAUCUAGUUUGAGUCCUAA